CCUACGGGGGGCAGCAGUCGAGAAUCAUUCACAAUGGGGGAAACCCUGAUGGUGCGACGCCGCGUGGGGGAAUGAAGGUCUUCGGAUUGUAAACCCCUGUCAUGUGGGAGCAAAUUAAAAAGAUAGUACCACAAGAGGAAGAGACGACUAACUCUGUGCCAGCAGCCGCGGUAAUACAGAGGUCUCAAGCGUUGUUCGGAAUCACUGGGCGUAAAGCGUGCGAAGGCUGUUUCGUAAGUCGUGUGUGAAAGUCGAGGGCUCAACCCGCGGACGGCACGUGAUACUGCGAGACUAGAGUAAUGGAGGGGGAACCGGAAUUCUCGGUGUAGCAGUGAAAUGCGUAGAUAUCGAGAGGAACACUCGUGGCGAAGGCGGGUUCCUGGACAUUAACUGACGCUGAGGCACGAAGGCCAGGGGAGCGAAAGGGAUUAGAUACCCUGGUAGUC
rnacentral:rRNA from 1 species